GCUGCAGAGGGAAGCGCCACACAGUGCCAUAUUAUCCACCUUAUUCAUAGCCCCCAUGAGGCUUUGCGUGAUUUAUGGGCGUGACUUCCGCCGCAAACUGGAACCGCCAUUUGUUUACAUGUUAGCAACUCGCUAACCGGCUUUCCACAGAGUUUUUAGGCUAUGAAAUAUGUUCGAGCUCCAGCUAUCACAGCUUAAAUGUGGCAAUAUUGUUUUACCACUACCUGAAGCUGUUGAGGGGUGGGAUGGCGACUUGAAGAAAUGGCCGCAAAUAACCCGCACUAGCAUAUUUAGCUACUUCACUGACUCAGUUGCUGCAGAUGCAGGUUUUCUUAUGUUGCGUUUUGUCCACACAAUGAAAUGAUCACACGUAAAACAUUUUGGGUUCUCUCUUCAAGUUUAGAAUUUUUAGCCAAAUUCUUUUUGUUUCCUUAUCUGUCGGUAGGUGAUGUAAACUACCACUUAUCACAGAUACACUGCCGUUUUGUUUUGGGAGCACGUUCGAGACACAUUGCUGCUGAAGCCACAAACUAAACUUGGUCAAAUUAUUAGAGUACAGCUACGAACAGCACAACAGUUACCCGAGCUCCACAAGGGCAUCAUACCCUUUCCAGUGGCAAAUUGCUCUCUAUAACAGGUUAAUGUGUGAUUCAGUUUGGUUCGGUUCUAGUCCAGUGGGGAGAUUCUCUGUAUUACGGUCUGGAGCGCAGGAGCUGAGGUAAUUUCUCCACUGAUUUGCAGCGUCACUCAGCAACAGAAAACCUUGAUUAAAUAAACUCAGAUGUGAGACUCUCAUCAUGAACUUUAUUAUCUUUUAAAUUCAAACAAAAUUCACAUCACACAAGCUGAUAUUAUGUAGUUCCAGUGUUUUACACUGUCACCGCAAAACAGCAGCUCAGAUCUCUGACCAGCUUCUCUGCUCUUAUCUUUAUUACUGAGUUCUUCAGAGGAGCAGCGUUGCUAAGUCACGAUCAUUCCAUUACAAAACUUAACAAUCGUGCUCCUGUCGCUCUCCACGAUUAAAGUCAUAAUUACGAUUCUCUGUACUGAGCAACUCUCUGAUAGCAGAUGGAUUGUCCGUAGACAAGUUUCACUAAGUAUUGUAUUACAACCGAAAAGAGAGUUGUAACCUCUAUCAUGAAAAUAGAUUAGCAAAAAACCCUACAAAUUACAAUGAAAUACUGCUACUUCCGGUGGGCGCCGGAAGUAAGACCCAUAAUCGUUUCCCCAGUAAGCCUCCCAGGAAUAAGGUGGAUAGCACAAUCAAGCAACUAUGUUGCCGUUAAAAAAAUGCUGAAUACUUCAAAUAUGACUUCAACUGAAAUUUGACUUUGUAAUUUAUUGCCUUGAAAUUGGGGCUGGGUGAUGUAUCGAGUGUACUCGAUGUAUCACGAUAUUUUCAAAUUACGAUAGUUAAAAUGGCUAUGUCGCAAUCAUCAAGUAUAAAUUGUCCUUCACAAAAUAAACGUUCACCGUCAAAUUCACUGCAAGUAACGUUUGUCCGACACCCCAUGAAUGCGUUACUAGUCCCUCUUCCCUCCCAACCUGAAAAUUUUCUACCAAUCACACUGCGCGGAAAAAAAUAAACAUGGUGACAGCGAGAGUUUGAGGCAAACCAUGAAUGAGACGGUAACUGAAGGGAAGACAAGAACGACUGGCGAAGAAGGUGUGGCAACCAGGAGCGUCGGUUGAGUUUCCCCGGAGAG